UACAGAGGUCUCAAGCGUUGUUCGGAUUCAUUGGGCGUAAAGGGUGCGUAGGUGGCGCCGUAAGUCGGAUGUGAAAUUUCGGAGCUUAACUCCGAAACUGUAUUCGAUACUGCGGUGCUUGAGGACUGGGAGAGGAGACUGGAAUUCAUGGUGUAGCAGUGAAAUGCGUAGAGAUCAUGAGGAAGACCAGUGGCGAAGGCGGGUCUCUGGACAGUUCCUGACACUGAGGCACGAAGGCCAGGGAGCAAACGGG
rnacentral:rRNA from 1 species